GCCGGGUGUAGUGGCGCACACCUAUAAUCCCAGCUACUUGGGAGGCUGAGGCAGAAGAAUCACUUGAACCCGGGAGGCAGAGGUUGCAGUGAGCCAAGAUGGCACCACUGCACUCCAGCCUGGGUGACAGAGUGAGACCCUGUCUCAA
rnacentral:SRP_RNA from 1 species